CUUCCCUUUUAGUGAUUUUACUAGAAAACAGCCGUCCCUGUUUAGAAGAUGUUUUCAGAUGGAUUCCUGAAUUGUUUGCUGCAUUAUCUUCCCUGGUGCAGAAGUUAAGCUGACUGACAUCAGCGAUAAAGGGGUGCAGGAUCCAGAAAAGAGAAGCCAGUAGUGAACACUGACCGUGGACAACAGAUGAAACAGACAGACGAACUAUCGCAAGAAGGUGUGGAUACAACAGUACAUUGAGAGCCGAGAAGGAAGGACUGUGCUGGAGUACUAAUUCUGAACAUGGCACUAGGUCUUUCAUGAACCCAAGGAGCUGAUAUAUUUCCAGAAACCCACCCCAUGGUACAUGCUCAGGUACUUCCAAUUUAAUGCAACCGCAAAUCUGAGAACUGUUGGGCACCCUAAGUUUGGUACAAUUCCCAAAAGAGGUUUUACUAUAUCCCACUUACAUGACAUUUCUGUUUUUUCUCUGCAUCCCACAGGUGCAGCCUGAUAGUUAAGGCACAUUUCUGAAAUUACUGCUUGAAAUAUACCUGCCUUGUUCGAUCUUUCUUUGACCCACUUGAGCACACAGCACGGUUCUUCCUUGAUCAUUAAAACAGAAAUGGGGUCAUUUUGUUCCAAAGGAUCCAGGGUGGCCAUGGGAUCCUCUGUGGCAUAAUGACUCCCUGUUAUACAGAACAGAUGGUCACCUUCAACCAAAUCAAUUAACCAAACCUUAACAAAUACAGUGCAACCUAUAUACAUAGAGGUAUAUACAUAGAGGAUGAUGGCGGUCAUGUCGAUCUAGGAAUGGAAGAGAAAAUAUGAUUGGCACAGUUAAAUGGGUUGAAAGAAGAACAGGAGUACUUGUGGCACCUUAAAGACUAACAAAUUUCCUUUCCAUUCCUUUACCUGGCUGCUAUGGAAUCACUUUAAUUUGAUCCCCUUCUUUGCUGGUAUUUGAACCUGAUAUACAGAGGCACUUGCUCCGUUUGUUAUGAUAACUGGACCCACCCAACGAGGACUAAGGACAUGGCCUUUUUCUAUAUAAUACCUAAACAUUACCUUUGUACCAACCACCCAUCCUACAUCAUUAAUGUGGCCUAACCAAGCACUAAUGACUUGGUUAUUAGCUUUUAGUUGAGGAGCUACUCGAUGUUGAAGACUGCUGAUGGUGUCUAGCAACUGUGACAUGUAUAAGUCUAUUUGCACCCUGGGAAGGUACUCAUCCGGUGGAACUCCUCCCACCCACUAAAGUUCAGGGGUGUGCAUAAUUCUCCCAGUUAGCAUCUCGUGCGGUGAAAACCCUCACACAGUUCUAGUAGAUCGCAUGGCCGCUAGGAUAUUUGGGAGUUUGCUAUCCCAAUCCCUUCCUUGCACAUCUAUUACUUUUCUAAGAGCAGUUUUCAUGGCUCUAUUAGCCUCUCGACGAUAACAGACUUUGCGGGUGAGCAGCUAUGUGCAACCGCUGUUUGAUGUUUAAGGCCGCACACAGCGCUUUUGUGACUUCACCCACAAAGUGUGGUCCUCUGUCUGAAUCUAUUUCUGAUGGGAUACCAAAUCGAGAAAAGGUUUGUUCCAGUAUUUCCUCCUUUAUGUUAGGCAACCACGCCACUUAGACACCCGUUCCAAAGUUUUGGACGCAGCAUAGUGUCCCUGGCCAUGAGCUACAGUUAUUAGUUCUUUUCGUGGAGUUAUUGGCAUAACCAGUACAGGUAAUUCACAGUUUGGUGAUGUUGCUAUAAUCAAUCCGUUUUUGUCCUUACAUAUCCUUGAUGUUUCCCUGCUGUUAAAAGGGCUUGGAGAUCAUUAUCCUGUUUUUGCAGGGUCAAGAUGCCAUGGCCUGCUGACACAUCUGGAGACGGCAUCUUAACUACAGCAGCUGAAAUUGGGUCUUAUCCCAUGUAUAUGCUGAUCCUAACCUAGCAGCUUGUUUUGCUAGCUGAUUGGCCUGAUUGUCAAGCGUGGCCAGAACCGACCCCCUUCGUAUGGGCUUUUACUUUGAACUCUUUUCUUCCAGAUGGGAAGGGCUUGAACCACCCAACUAGAAGCAGAACACAGACAGAUGUUUUCCUCAGGUGCUACCCCAGACGAUACUGCCAGGACCGCAAUUCAUUGUGCAGCUUGUGCUGACGGCGGCCUCACCGUACCCUGCACCACUUGCUGUGUCCCCUCCUGGAUUGCAGCAAACCCUGCAACAGGAUGCCCUUCGUGGUGACAAGCACUCCCAUCAACUGCCCAGAGUGUUAACCCUUUUCCUUGUACUUCUUCCCAGGAUGUUGCUAAGAAGAAUGGAGAUAGUAAGUCUAAAUCAGGAUCUGGCAACGGACAUUCGUGCUCAUCUCCUGCGGUAAUCGGAGCAUAGGGAAGGAUUCUCGUAUGGGGGGGAUCUUCUCAGUACGAAUAUCCCGAUUGACCAGACUUAGAGUCCAUCCCGCCAGCCGGGGAGAGGAUACCCUUCCCUCAUUAAUUCUUCCAGAGAUGACAUAUUUUACUGGAGUAUGGCAUGUCCUCACCACAAUGAGAGCUGUGCCACUUAAAUAUUCCCAAUGUGUUAGGGACCAUACCAGGGCGAAUACCUCACGUUCGCAAGCUGAAAA